AGGAAGGGACCUGCUGGCCAAACCCUUUUUUCCCACUGGACCUCAGACCCCAAGGAACUUGGAGUCUGCUCAAGUGAGUGAGUUGGGGCUCUUCACCCUCCCAGAACUGGCUGUUGAUGGAAGAAACCCCUGCGUAGGAAGGAUGGUCCCACACAUCCUUUUAGAUCUGAUUCAAAUCCCACGACUUCCAUGAAGAUGUGUUCCACUUACUCUGAUUUCUCUCUUCUUGGAACUCCUGUCACCCUGGAUUCAUGGAACUCUCCUGCUAUCAUGUGAAGCAGCAUGGACUAGCCUACAGAGGAUGAGGCCUCAUGGAGCAGACAAGCUGUCUCAGUUGAGGCCCUCAAAACCAAUCAAGCUCCAGCUGAACUGCCAGGUGACUGCAGCUGCAUGAGUGACCCCAAGCAAGAUGAGCAGAAGAGGCCCCAACUGAGCCCAAC